rnacentral:rRNA from 1 species
GACGAACGCUGGCGGCGUGCUUAACACAUGCAAGUCGAACGAUGAAGAAGAGAAACGCGAACUUCGGUUCAAAUUUCACUUCGGAUUAGUGGCAGACGGGUGAGUAACGCGUGAGCAACCUACCUCUUACAAAGGGAUAGCCUCGGGAAACCGUGAUUAAUACCAUAUGACACCUUCAUAAAGCAUCUUAAGAAUGUUAAAGCUACGGCGGUAAGAGAUGGGCUCGCGUCCCAUUAGCUAGUUGGUGAGGUAACGGCCCACCAAGGCGACGAUGGGUAACCGGCCUGAGAGGGUGAACGGUCACAUUGGAACUGAGACACGGUCCAAACUCCUACGGGAGGCAGCAGUGGGGAAUAUUGCACAAUGGAGGGAACUCUGAUGCAGCGACGCCGCGUGAGCGAUGAAGGAAUUCGUUUCGUAAAGCUCUGUUCUAUGGGAAGAAAAGGACUGUACCAUAGGAGAAAGCCCCGGCUAAAUACGUG